CUCAGCCAGGGCCUACCUGGUUAAGAAAUAUACCACAAAACCAGAUUAGGAGAGUGAGACAGAAUUGUUCUAAUAAUGAGGUUUGCCAACAACAAAUGGAAGAAAUGAGACAGACUCCAAAACAAGGGAUAUCUUCAAACAUUACUACAAGAAGCGAUGGACGCAAUACUUACCAGUCCGAGAGAAAGUCAAUACCACAGAAUCACAUACCUCAGUUCCAACUUUUAUUACCAAAUAUAA